rnacentral:rRNA from 1 species
AUAAUGGGUCAGCGACUUAUAUUCUGUAGCAAGGUUAACCGAAUAGGGGAGCCGAAGGGAAACCGAGUCUUAACUGGGCGUUAAGUUGCAGGGUAUAGACCCGAAACCCGGUGAUCUAGCCAUGGGCAGGUUGAAGGUUGGGUAACACUAACUGGAGGACCGAACCGACUAAUGUUGAAAAAUUAGCGGAUGACUUGUGGCUGGGGGUGAAAGGCCAAUCAAACCGGGAGAUAGCUGGUUCUCCCCGAAAGCUAUUUAGGUAGCGCCUCGUGAAUUCAUCUCCGGGGGUAGAGCACUGUUUCGGCAAGGGGGUCAUCCCGACUUACCAACCCGAUGCAAACUGCGAAUACCGGAGAAUGUUAUCACGGGAGACACACGGCGGGUGCUAACGUCCGUCGUGAAGAGGGAAACAACCCAGACCGCCAGCUAAGGUCCCAAAGUCAUGGUUAAGUGGGAAACGAUGUGGGAAGGCCCAGACAGCCAGGAUGUUGGCUUAGAAGCAGCCAUCAUUUAAAGAAAGCGUAAUAGCUCACUGGUCGAGUCGGCCUGCGCGGAAGAUGUAACGGGGCUAAACCAUGCACCGAAGCUGCGGCAGCGACGCUGAUGCGUUGUUGGGUAGGGGAGCGUUCUGUAAGCCUGCGAAGGUGUGCUGUGAGGCAUGCUGGAGGUAUCAGAAGUGCGAAUGCUGACAUAAGUAACGAUAAAGCGGGUGAAAAGCCCGCUCGCCGGAAGACCAAGGGUUCCUGUCCAACGUUAAUCGGGGCAGGGUGAGUCGACCCCUAAGGCGAGGCCGAAAGGCGUAGUCGAUGGGAAACAGGUUAAUAUUCCUGUACUUGGUGUUACUGCGAAGGGGGGACGGAGAAGGCUAUGUUGGCCGGGCGACGGUUGUCCCGGUUUAAGCGUGUAGGCUGGUUUUCCAGGCAAAUCCGGAAAAUCAAGGCUGAGGCGUGAUGACGAGGCACUACGGUGCUGAAGCAACAAAUGCCCUGCUUCCAGGAAAAGCCUCUAAGCAU